ACCUUUGUGUUUGCUUCAUUUUUUAUUUUUUUUUUCCCCGCUUUUCUUCUCUUCCUUUUUUCCCACCUCUACUCUGCCCUCAUCCCUCUGCAAAAAGGAGAGGGACG
rnacentral:ribozyme from 1 species